UACGAGGGGUGCAAGCGUUGCUCGGAAUUAUUGGGCGUAAAGGGGAGGUAGGUGGUCUCAUUUGUCUGGGGUGAAAGCCUUGGGCUUAACUCAAGAAGUGCCCCAGAAACGGUGAGACUAGAGUCCUGGAGAGGGUCGUGGAAUUCCCGGUGUAGCGGUGAAAUGCGUAGAGAUCGGGAGGAACACCAGAGGCGAAGGCGGCGACCUGGACAGGUACUGACACUCGAACUCCGAAAGCGUGGGGGAGCAAACA
rnacentral:rRNA from 1 species